AAAAAGGUAAGCUAAAUAAGCUUUUGGGUUCAUACCCCAAGUAUAAAGAGCCCCCCCUUUCCUUUUUA
rnacentral:tRNA from 1 species